rnacentral:rRNA from 1 species
AGAUUGAACGCUGGCGGCAUGCUUUACACAUGCAAGUCGAACGGUAACAGGCCGCAAGGUGCUGACGAGUGGCGAACGGGUGAGUAAUGUAUCGGAACGUGCCCAGUCGUGGGGGAUAACGCAGCGAAAGCUGCGCUAAUACCGCAUACGAUCUAUGGAUGAAAGCGGGGGACCGUAAGGCCUCGCGCGAUUGGAGCGGCCGAUAUCAGAUUAGGUAGUUGGUGGGGUAAAGGCUCACCAAGCCAACGAUCUGUAGCUGGUCUGAGAGGACGACCAGCCACACUGGGACUGAGACACGGCCCAGACUCCUACGGGAGCAGCAGUGGGGAAUUUUGGACAAUGGGCGCAAGCCUGAUCCAGCAAAUGCCGCGUGCAGGAAGAAAGGCCUCGGUUGUAAC